rnacentral:rRNA from 1 species
GAUGAACGCUGGCGGCGUGCCUAAUACAUGCAAGUCGAGCGAACAGACGAGAAGCUUGCGUCUCUGACGUUAGCGGCGGGCGGGUGAGUCACACGUGUAUAACCUACCUAUAAUACUGAUAUAACUUCGGGAAACCGGAUCUAAUACCGUAUAAUAUUCUGAACCGCAUUGGGCAAAGGAGAAAUACGGUCGUGCUGUCUCGUAUAGAUGCAUCGGGGCUGCAUGAGCUAGUUGGUAAGGUAACGGCCUACCAAGGCGAGGAGGCAUAGACGACGGGAGAGGGGGAUCGGCGACACUGGAAGUGAGACACGGUCAAGACUACUAAGGGACGCAGCAGUAGGGAAUGUUAGGCAGUGGGCGAGAGCAUGGCGGAGCAACGCCGCGUGAGUGAUGACGGUGUUGGGAUCGUAAAACUCUGUUAUUAGGGAAGAACCUAUGUGUAAGUAAAUGUGCAGAGAUUGACGGUAACUAAUAAGAAAGCAACGGCUAACUACGUG